UUUCAGCAUAAUUUGCCAUACGGGAGUUUGACGGCGGAAGACUUGGACCUGCGAGUUGCAGUUCACUAUGGCAUCCCAUCCACGGCCUCCAUUCUUGCUUUCGACCCGAUUCAGCGCCUUUUGGCCAUUGGAACAAUGGAUGGGAGGAUUAAAGUGCUCGGUGGUGAUGGUAUUGAAGGACUCUUUAUAUCCCCGAAGCAACUGCCUUACAAAUACAUUGAGGUAUCUGUGUGCACCAUUCAUUCCCCUUGUUUAGUUACAAGGAUAAAGUAUCAAUAGUAAAGAGUUUAGGGUGAAACAUUUUUUUUUUUUUUAAUGAUAUAUU